rnacentral:rRNA from 1 species
AGAGUUUGAUCAUGGCUCAGAGUGAACGCUGGCGGCGUGCCUAACACAUGCAAGUCGAACGAGAACGGAUAUUAGCUUGCUAAUAUUGUCAGCUAAGUGGCGCACGGGUGAGUAAUAUAUAGUUAAUCUGCCCCAAAGAAGAGAAUAAUUGUUGGAAACGACUUGUAAUGCUCUAUAUGCCUUUAUCACAUAAGUGAGCAAGGGAAAUAUUUAUAGCUUUGGGAUGAGACUGCACGGUAUCAGAUAGUUGGUGAGGUAAUGGCUCACCAAGUCUAUGACACCUAACUGGUUUGAGAGGAUGAUCAGUCACACUGGAACUGAGACACGGUCCAGACUCCUACGGGAGGCAGCAGUGGGGAAUAUUGCACAAUGGAGGAAACUCUGAUGCAGCAACGCCGCGUGGAGGAUGACACAUUUCGGUGCGUAAACUCCUUUUAUUAGGGAAGAUAAUGACGGUACCUAAUGAAUAAGCACCGGCUAACUCCGUGCCAGCAGCCGCGGUAAUACGGGGGGUGCAAGCGUUACUCGGAAUCACUGGGCGUAAAGAGCGUGUAGGCUGGUUUGUAAGUUGGAAGUGAAAUCCUAUGGCUCAACCAUAGAACUGCUUCCAAAACUGCUUACCUAGAGUAUGGGAGAGGUAGAUGGAAUUUCUGGUGUAGGGGUAAAAUCCGUAGAGAUC